rnacentral:rRNA from 1 species
UACGUAGGGGGCAAGCGUUGUCCGGAAUCAUUGGGCGUAAAGAGCGUGUAGGCGGCCCGGUAAGUCCGCUGUGAAAGUCCAGGGCUCAACCCUGGGAUGCCGGUGGAUACUGUCGGGCUCGAGUCCGGAAGAGGCGAGUGGAAUUCCUGGUGUAGCGGGUGAAAUGCGCAGAUAUCAGGAGGAACACCAAUGGCGAAGGCAGCUCGCUGGGACGUGACUGACGCUGAGACGCGAAAGCGUGGGGAGCAAACAGG